rnacentral:rRNA from 1 species
UGCAGUCGAGCGGACAGAUGGGAGCUUGCUCCCUGAUGUUAGCGGCGGACGGGUGAGUAACACGUGGGUAACCUGCCUGUAAGACUGGGAUAACUCCGGGAAACCGGGGCUAAUACCGGAUGGUUGUCUGAACCGCAUGGUUCAGACAUAAAAGGUGGCUUCGGCUACCACUUACAGAUGGACCCGCGGCGCAUUAGCUAGUUGGUGAGGUAACGGCUCACCAAGGCGACGAUGCGUAGCCGACCUGAGAGGGUGAUCGGCCACACUGGGACUGAGACACGGCCCAGACUCCUACGGGAGGCAGCAGUAGGGAAUCUUCCGCAAUGGACGAAAGUCUGACGGAGCAACGCCGCGUGAGUGAUGAAGGUUUUCGGAUCGUAAAGCUCUGUUGUUAGGGAAGAACAAGUGCCGUUCAAAUAGGGCGGCACCUUGACGGUACCUAACCAGAAAGCCACGGCUAACUACGUGCCAGCAGCCGCGGUAAUACGUAGGUGGCAAGCGUUGUCCGGAAUUAUUGGGCGUAAAGGGCUCGCAGGCGGUUUCUUAAGUCUGAUGUGAAAGCCCCCGGCUCAACCGGGGAGGGUCAUUGGAAACUGGGGAACUUGAGUGCAGAAGAGGAGAGUGGAAUUCCACGUGUAGCGGUGAAAUGCGUAGAGAUGUGGAGGAACACCAGUGGCGAAGGCGACUCUCUGGUCUGUAACUGACGCUGAGGAGCGAAAGCGUGGGGAGCGAACAGGAUUAGAUACCCUGGUAGUCCACGCCGUAAACGAUGAGUGCUA